rnacentral:rRNA from 1 species
GACGAACGCUGGCGGCGUGCUUAACACAUGCAAGUCGAGCGAUGAAACACCUUCGGGUGCGGAUUAGCGGCGAACGGGUGAGGAACACGUGAGGAAUCUGCCUUCCACUCUGGGAUAACUCCGGGAAACCGGGGCUAAUACCGGAUACUUUCAACUGGCGGCAUCGCCGGUUGAAGAAAGUUUUUCGGUGGAAGAUGACCUCGCGGCCUAUCAGCUUGUUGGUGAGGUAAAGGCUCACCAAGGCGACGACGGGUAGCCGGCCUGAGAGGGCGACCGGCCACACUGGGACUGAGACACGGCCCAGACUCCUACGGGAGGCAGCAGUGGGGAAUUUUGGGCAAUGGGGGCAACCCUGAUCCAGCCAUCCCGCGUGUGCGAUGAAGGCCUUCGGGUUGUAAAGCACUUUUGGCAGGAAAGAAAUCGCACGGGCUAAUACCUCGUGUGGAUGACGGUACCUGCAGAAUAAGCACCGGCUAAC